CUGCUGCCUUCCGUAGGAGUUUGGGCCGUGUCUCAGUCCCAAUGUGGCCGUCCACCCUCUCAGGCCGGCUACUGAUCGUCGGCUUGGUGGGCCGUUACCCCGCCAACUACCUAAUCAGACGCGGGCCCAUCUUACACCACCGGAGUUUUCCGCACCAGACCAUGCGGCCCUGUGCGCAUAUGCGGUAUUAGCAGCCGUUUCCAGCUGUUGUCCCCCUGUGUAAGGCAGGUUGCCCACGCGUUACUCACCCGUCCGCCACU
rnacentral:rRNA from 1 species